AUGCAGCUCUAAAUGGGAGGUACAUUUCUUCUAAAGCUAAAUAUUGGCCAGAGACCGAUACCGAACAAGUAGAGUGAUCGAAAGAUGAAAAGCACUUUGGAAAGAGAGUCAAACAGCACGUGAAAUUGUUGAAAGGGAAGCGCUUGCAGCCAGACUUGCUUACAGUUGCUCAUCCGGGUUUUUACCCGGUGCACUCUUCUGUAGGCAGGCCAGCAUCAGUUUGGGCGGUAGGAUAAAGGUCUCUGUCACGUACCUCCUUUCGGGGAGGCCUUAUAGGGGAGACGACAUACUACCAGCCUGGACUGAGGUCCGCGCAUCUGCUAGG
rnacentral:rRNA from 1 species